rnacentral:rRNA from 1 species
ACUCCUACGGGAGGCAGCAGUGGGGAAUAUUGCACAAUGGGCGCAAGCCUGAUGCAGCCAUGCCGCGUGUGUGAAGAAGGCCUUCGGGUUGUAAAGCACUUUCAGUCGUGAGGAAGGUAGUGUAGUUAAUAGCUGCAUUAUUUGACGUUAGCGACAGAAGAAGCACCGGCUAACUCCGUGCCAGCAGCCGCGGUAAUACGGAGGGUGCGAGCGUUAAUCGGAAUUACUGGGCGUAAAGCGCAUGCAGGUGGUUUGUUAAGUCAGAUGUGAAAGCCCGGGGCUCAACCUCGGAAUAGCAUUUGAAACUGGCAGACUAGAGUACUGUAGAGGGGGGUAGAAUUUCAGGUGUAGCGGUGAAAUGCGUAGAGAUCUGAAGGAAUACCGGUGGCGAAGGCGGCCCCCUGGGACAGAUACUGACACUCAGAUGCGAAAGCGUGGGGAGCAAACAGGAUUAGAUACCCUGGUAGGAUAGCG